rnacentral:lncRNA from 1 species
GCAAGCCUCCACCCAGACACGCCUGCUUCCUCACUGAAGUUUCAAGCGCCGAAGGCCUGCAGCUGCACAGAUGGGCAGAGAAGACAGGACCUCUAUUUUGCACACAAGUUAAGGACAAGAGCAAUGAACCAGGAACAGUAAGUACCUUUCCUUCCUCAGGGUUUUAUUUUAUGGUGCUGGGGAUACAACUUGGGGCUUGAGCAUUUUCUAACUCCUAGGGACUGCAAACUGUGCCCUAGUCACUGUCCUUAUUGAAUGAGACUCAUUAAAUAUUUUCACAGACAAAAACGAAAGAAUGAUAGAUGCAGAGCUAAGGCGUGGAUGUGUUCUGACACA